UUCACGAGCGUGACCGGUAACCGACGGCCUC
rnacentral:piRNA from 1 species